rnacentral:rRNA from 1 species
UACGGAGGGAGCUAGCGUUGUUCGGAAUUACUGGGCGUAAAGCGCACGUAGGCGGCUUUGCAAGUUAGAGGUGAAAGCCCGGGGCUCAACUCCGGAAUUGCCUUUAAAACUGCAUCGCUAGAAUUGUGGAGAGGUAAGUGGAAUUCCGAGUGUAGAGGUGAAAUUCGUAGAUAUUCGGAAGAACACCAGUGGCGAAGGCGACUUACUGGACACAUAUUGACGCUGAGGUGCGAAAGCGUGGG